rnacentral:lncRNA from 1 species
GUCAAUGAAUAUCAUGAAGAUGAUAGAAAUCAAUAAUCUCUCACCAGGAGGUGUCAGAGCUGAGAAGUUGUCUUCAUAAUAAGGCCUAAAAGGCCAGAGAGGACAAAGCUAAAUUUGGGAAUGUAAAUCUUUAACCAGGUCAGAAUUAUCAAGAAUGUUAAGCUACUUAAUGCCAUCUGAUUUUUGUAAAAUAUCUUUUUAUUGGAAUGAUCUGUGUUUUAAUUUUAAGUGUAUUUCUUAGGUAUUCAAGAUCAAGCUGUUUAAAGUGACCUUGUUUUUACCUAUCAUUAAGAGUCAGCUGAGUUGUCUUGGGGUGUCUGUUGGGUAACUAAUGAGCAGCUGUUUAGCUCUGCUAAUGCCAUCCACCUAGAUAAGUCAAGGUCUCACUGACCAUGUGGCUUCCGUUGGAAAUACCAAAAAUAUUUCUCUUUUCCAAUGACUCUCCUUUUUCACAGUAUGUAUCCUGAUUGGAUUUCUUUUUUUAAGGUCCACCGGCAGACAGCAGGGAAACCAUCCUGAAGCUUGACCCAGAUUUGCAAAGCUCUUAGAGAAGUUCCCUUGUUCCCUGGGUUCAAGCUGACUCAGAGGGCAAGAGCUAAAUAUUGGGUUUCUUGCCCCCAACCCCACCUUUUUAACCUUAAUCUUUAAGCCUUGAUCUUAAAUAUCCAGCAAUCCCAUCUUAAAUUAAGAGUACUGGGCUUUAACUUUAAUAUUUAUAACUUUACAGUCAUCUUUA